UGGGGGAUAUUGCACAAUGGGGGAAACCCUGAUGCAGCGACGCCGCGUGUAGGAAGACGGUCCUCUGGAUUGUAAACUACUGUCUUCGGGGACGAUAAUGACGGUACCCGAGGAGGAAGCUCCGGCUAACUACGUGCCAGCAGCCGCGGUAAUACGUAGGGAGCGAGCGUUGUCCGGAAUUACUGGGUGUAAAGGGAGCGUAGGCGGGGAUAUAAGUUAAAUGUUAAAUCUACGGGCUCAACCCGUAGUCGCGUUUAAAACUGUAUCUCUUGAGUGAAGUAGAGGCAGGCGGAAUUCCCGGUGUAGCAGUGAAAUGCGUAGAUAUCGAGAGGAACACUCGUGGCGAAGGCGGGUUCCUGGACAUUAACUGACGCUGAGGUACGAAGGCCAGGGUAGCGAAAG
rnacentral:rRNA from 1 species